GAUGAACGCUGGCGGCGUGCCUAAUACAUGCAAGUCGAGCGAACAGACGAGGAGCUUGCUCCUCUGACGUUAGCGGCGGACGGGUGAGUAACACGUGGAUAACCUACCUAUAAGACUGGGAUAAAUUCGGGAAACCGGAGCUAAUACCGGAUAAUAUAUUGAACCGCAUGGUUCAAUAGUGAAAGACGGUUUUGCUGUCACUUAUAGAUGGAUCCGCGCCGCAUUAGCUAGUUGGUAAGGUAACGGCUUACCAAGGCAACGAUGCCUAGCCGACCUGAGAGGGUGAUCGGCCACACUGGAACUGAGACACGGUCCAGACUCCUACGGGAGGCAGCAGUAGGGAAUCUUCCGCAAUGGGCGAAAGCCUGACGGAGCAACGCCGCGUGAGUGAUGAAGGUCUUCGGAUCGUAAAACUCUGUUAUUAGGGAAGAACAAAUGUGUAAGUAACUAUGCACGUCUUGACGGUACCUAAUCAGAAAGCCACGGCUAACUACGUG
rnacentral:rRNA from 1 species